AGACGUCUACAUUAGAUACCCCCGUAGUCCCAGCCGUAAACUAUGCGCGUUAGGUGUAUCGGUGACCACGAGUUACCGAGGUGCCGAAGGGAAACCGUGAAACGUGCCGCCUGGGAAGUACGGUCGCAAGGCUGAAACUUAAAGGAAUUGGCGGGGGAGCACAACAACGGGUGGAGCCUGCGGUUUAAUUGGACUCAACGCCGGACAACUCACCGGGGACGACAGCAAUAUGUAGGCCAGGCCGAAGACCUUGCCUGAAUCGCUG
rnacentral:rRNA from 1 species